GCCGGAAUAGCUCAGUUGGGAGAGCGUUAGAUUGAAGUUGUUUACGCAACCAUCAUUUAAAGGCAUCGGUUCAAUCCCAGGUUCUGGCA
rnacentral:tRNA from 1 species